CAGGUUCGUUGUUGUACGUGUGUUCCAUGGCUCGGAUAAGAUGGUUUCCGUCAAGAGCGACAGCCAUCCUAAAAAAAAAAGAGCGACAGCCUCGAAACGACUGCAGAUCCAGACUCUUCUUCCCCAACGCGGCAUCCAUUUUAGGUGACGAGGUAGAGAGGGAGGAAGUGGGAGAACGGGCGACCGACGCUUAAUGGAGUUCCUCAUGCAUCCAAUCCGUAGAUCCAUGCUGAGUGAGGAGGUAGGAGAGAGUCUGCUGCCGGAAGGUUUGCCGGCGGACGGUAACAGGCGAACGGUGGUGGUGCCGUUGCUGGAGGGUGUGAGCGGCGAUGUGCGGAUUUGCGUGGCGUCUGCACCGGCGGCGACGAGCGGAGAUGGGCGAAUCUGCAACGUGGCUCAAGCGGCAACAGUGAGAAGGACAACUCGCCUCCGACUUCUGAGCUCUCCAUAGGAAAGAUAAAUCCCCAGGCUCCUGAUUGGAAUAAAAAGGUUGAGAAUUUUUUAUGAGCUUACCGAUGACAAAUGUUGAUGCCUUGCUAAGAAUAAUCUCUUUCAAACUUGAAGGGGGCGAGCAGUACAAACACCAGCCUCUAGCACUGACAGUGUGGUCAAGGAAGACGCGGACGUGAACAAGGUUGUACCACUUGUGCAAGACGAAGAUAACAAUUGCCCAGGUAAGAUAGUAGGUCCAUCUUCAGAAGAAUGGUUUGCAAUUAGACUAUUUUGUUUUUGCAAAAUGUGAAUGGAUGAUCAUAUAUGGUAACACAUCUUGGGGCUUGUUUCUGGUAGCUGAUGCUGGUUUAAUGGAUGUUGUUCUGGAGGAGAUCAAUGCGACGCAUGUACAUGCCUCUCAGGCGGCAUCAUAUGAUGUUAGGGCACGCACAAGCAUCCCAUUGGUAAAACAAGAAGGUGUUGGAGAUGGUGAUGUGCAGGGCCUGGUGAUGUGGUUGUGUGCAGGGUGGAGCGGAUAGAUGACGUGCAUCUAGAUGAUCAACUUGCUCGGCAACUUGAAGCAGAGCUGGAUGCGGAAUAUGAGAUGGAGAUAGCAUCCCGUGCACCGGCUGCGAGUGCGACGACGGGUUUGGUUCACGGGGUUAUUGACAUCUCUGACGAUGAAAGCAAUGAUGAAGUUGAUAUGAAAGAAUGGUCUGAUGAUCCUGAGCACGCUAAGUUGUCUGAGACAGACAGAAAGUUGAGGGAGCAAGAGCUGCAAGAUCCAGAUGUCAUGAAAAUGUAUCAAGAAAUGUAUGAUAAAAAUGAUGGUCCGCGGGAAGAAAACUGAGAUCGCCAAUGCGACAGCAAACCAAAACCUUGCUCAGGAGGUCGAACCGGCAGGUCGAGAAACAAGCCCCGUGGAGGGUGGCCAUAGAGAUGUUCAGGUUGAUAAAAGUGCGAAUGAGGAUUGCCGUCGCUGGCAGGCAAACAUCGAAGGACGGGCGUACAUUGGUGGUUCUCAGCCAUGAUGGUGGUUGUUGAUUUGAUUCUCCUUAUAGCCUUGAAGUAAUGCUUGGUUUGAUUCUCUGCAUUGCAAUGCUUGGUUUACUACAGAUAGCAUAUACAUUUAAGUUCCCUCCUGAGAAUUGUAUUAGAACUACUACCCUGAUUACAUAUGCAAUUUGAAUAAUAUAUUUGAAUGGAUGCCCCCCUGAUUUUAAGUA